UACGUAGGGGCCAGCGUUGUCCGGAAUCAUUGGGCGUAAAGCGCGCGUAGGCGGUCAGGUAAGUCCGGUGUGAAAGUCAUAGGCUCAACCUAUGAAUGCCGCUGGAAACUGCCUGACUUGAGUCCGGAAGGGGCGAGUGGAAUUCCUGGUGUAGCGGUGAAAUGCGCAGAUAUCAGGAGGAACACCAAUGGCGAAGGCAGCUCGCUGGAACGGUACUGACGCUGAGGCGCGAAAGCGUGGGGAGCGAACAGG
rnacentral:rRNA from 1 species